rnacentral:rRNA from 1 species
AUGGCGGCACGGCACCGGCGCCACCACGUCGAGGCACCGAAGCCAGCAUGGCUCGUGACGAUCAAGGCUGCUCCGCCUGCGCCGGCGAGGGGCGACGCUGCCAAGAAGCUCGCCGCGCCCGCUCGCUCGCCGAUCCUGCUGUCCCCGUCGGCAUGGCAGAAGGCGCAGCUCGACAAGAAGGACGUGGCCGUCGGUGACCGUGGCGACACCGGGGUCGCGCCGGCGCCGGCGUCGCCGAGGAUCGGCUGCAUGGGGCAGGUCAAGGGCACACAGAGAUGCUCGAGGGCACGCUGCCCGGCCUCCUCGAGGGGACCGGCGGCGUCGGGCCUCCCGUGCGGCAGCCUGGCGGGGCUGCUGAUGGGGCUAUUCGGCUGGCGGUCGACGGGGAGGAAGACGCGCGCAUACUCCAAGGUCCGGGACGUGGCGAGUGACACGUCGUCUUCAGGGAGCGCAAGGGGUGCCCGUGCGCCGAGCCCGCUUGAGCUCGACCCACCGCUGCCGGUGCCGGCGCCGGUGGUGAGACGGCCGGCCUUGGAAGAGAACGCCCCCAGCCUUUGGGAGCGGCGGCGCGGCGGCGCAAAGGUCCUGGAGGGUCUCCAGCUAGCGUAG